UGAAGCCACAAAGAGAAAUUAACCUGAAUUUAGAGUAAGACUCGUGCAUAAUCAUGUGCUCAGGCUUGGUUUCAGCUUCCAAAUAAUUUUCUCCUAACCAUGUACAGGUACAUCACGGAGCAAACUAACAGCUGGAUUCCACCAGCCACGGUUGCGACACGGUUUUGUUCUGUCCUCUGCGCGGAUUCAAAUCCCACUUGGAAGGAUUUCAGGAGCGAAGCCAGACGUUACUGACUUGGAUAUUCUGAUCAUUCAUGGUGCUUUUGUUAAUUAAGCUACUUAGUGAAAAGAUUCUGUGUCGGACUUCCUGCUGGGUUCAUCUGCUUUGUGCUACUUGAUGCAGCUUAUGCAAAAUAGACUCGCGGAGAGCUGCUUCUGGAACUCGUCUGGUGGAAUCACAAGCAAUCACAGCUGAACAUGACACCGCCACACCCGGUGGGAUCCAGGCUUCAUGAUGUGGAAUACAAGAAGUUUGAAACAAUAAAUAAGAAAACUGAUCUGUCUGAAAA